AUUGAACGCUGGCGGAAUGCUUUACACAUGCAAGUCGAACGGCAGCACGGGGGCAACCCUGGUGGCGAGUGGCGAACGGGUGAGUAAUAUAUCGGAACGUGCCCAGUCGUGGGGGAUAACGUAGCGAAAGUUACGCUAAUACCGCAUACGAUCUACGGAUGAAAGCGGGGGAUCGCAAGACCUCGCGCGAUUGGAGCGGCCGAUAUCAGAUUAGGUAGUUGGUGGGGUAAAGGCUCACCAAGCCAACGAUCUGUAGCUGGUCUGAGAGGACGACCAGCCACACUGGGACUGAGACACGGCCCAGACUCCUACGGGAGGCAGCAGUGGGGAAUUUUGGACAAUGGACGCAAGUCUGAUCCAGCCAUUCCGCGUGCAGGACGAAGGCCUUCGGGUUGUAAACUGCUUUUGUACGGAACGAAAAAGCUCUUACUAAUACUAGGAGUCCAUGACGGUACCGUAAGAAUAAGCACCGGCUAACUACGUGCCAGCAGCCGCGGUAAUACGUAGGGUGCGAGCGUUAAUCGGAAUUACUGGGCGUAAAGCGUGCGCAGGCGGUUAUAUAAGACAGAUGUGAAAUCCCCGGGCUCAACCUGGGAACUGCAUUUGUGACUGUAUAGCUAGAGUGCGGCAGAGGGGGAUGGAAUUCCGCGUGUAGCCAGUGAAAUGCGUAGAUAUGCGGGAGGGAACACCGGAUGGCGGAAAGGCAAUCCCCUGGGCCUGCACUGACG
rnacentral:rRNA from 1 species